rnacentral:rRNA from 1 species
GAUGAACGCUGGCGGCGUGCCUAAUACAUGCAAGUCGAGCGAACGGACGAGAAGCUUGCUUCUCUGAUGUUAGCGGCGGACGGGUGAGUAACACGUGGAUAACCUACCCAUAAGACUGGGAUAACUUCGGGAAACCGGGGCUAAUACCGGAUAAUAUUUUGAACCGCAUGGUUCAAAAGUGAAAGACGGUCUUGCUGUCACUUAUGGAUGGAUCCGCGCUGCAUUAGCUAGUUGGUAAGGUAACGGCUUACCAAGGCAACGAUGCAUAGCCGACCUGAGAGGGUGAUCGGCCACACUGGAACUGAGACACGGUCCAGACUCCUACGGGAGGCAGCAGUAGGGAAUCUUCCGCAAUGGGCGAAAGCCUGACGGAGCAACGCCGCGUGAGUGAUGAAGGUCUUCGGAUCGUAAAACUCUGUUAUUAGGGAAGAACAUAUGUGUAAGUAACUGUGCACAUCUUGACGGUACCUAAUCAGAAAGCCACGGCUAACUACGUGCCAGCAGCCGCGGUAAUACGUAGGUGGCAAGCGUUAUCCGGAAAUAUUGGGCGUAAAGCGCGCGUAGGCGGUUUUUUAAGUCUGAUGUGAAAGCCCACGGCUCAACCGUGGAGGGUCAUUGGAAACUGGAAAACUUGAGUGCAGAAGAGGAAAGUGGAAUUCCAUGUGUAGCGGUGAAAUGCGCAGAGAUAUGGAGGAACACCAGUGGCGAAGGCGACUUUCUGGUCUGUAACUGACGCUGAUGUGCGAAAGCGUGGGGAUCAAACAGGAUUAGAUACCCUGGUAGUCCACGCCGUAAACGAUGAGUGCUAAGUGUUAGGGGGUUUCCGCCCCUUAGUGCUGCAGCUAACGCAUUAAGCACUCCGCCUGGGGAGUACGACCGCAAGGUUGAAACUCAAAGGAAUUGACGGGGACCCGCACAAGCGGUGGAGCAUGUGGUUUAAUUCGAAGCAACGCGAAGAACCUUACCAAAUCUUGACAUCCUUUGACAACUCUAGAGAUAGAGCCUUCCCCUUCGGGGGACAAAGUGACAGGUGGUGCAUGGUUGUCGUCAGCUCGUGUCGUGAGAUGUUGGGUUAAGUCCCGCAACGAGCGCAACCCUUAAGCUUAGUUGCCAUCAUUAAGUUGGGCACUCUAAGUUGACUGCCGGUGACAAACCGGAGGAAGGUGGGGAUGACGUCAAAUCAUCAUGCCCCUUAUGAUUUGGGCUACACACGUGCUACAAUGGACAAUACAAAGGGCAGCGAAACCGCGAGGUCAAGCAAAUCCCAUAAAGUUGUUCUCAGUUCGGAUUGUAGUCUGCAACUCGACUACAUGAAGCUGGAAUCGCUAGUAAUCGUAGAUCAGCAUGCUACGGUGAAUACGUUCCCGGGUCU